rnacentral:rRNA from 1 species
CGCAAGCCUGACGGAGCAACGCCGCGUGAGGGAGGAAGGCCUGUGGGUUGUAAGCCUCUUUUCUCUGGGAAGAAGACCUGACGGUACCAGAGGAAUCAGCAUCGGCUAACUCCGUGCCAGCAGCCGCGGUAAGACGGAGGAUGCAAGCGUUAUCCGGAAUUAUUGGGCGUAAAGCGUCCGUAGGCGGCUCAUCAAGUCUGCUGUCAAAGACUACAGCUCAACUGUGGGUAGGCAGUGGAAACUGAAGAGCUAGAGUGUGGUAGGGGUAGAGGGAAUUCCCAGUGUAGCGGUGAAAUGCGUAGAUAUUGGGAAGAACACCAGUGGCGAAGGCGCUCUACUGGGCCAAGACUGACGCUGAGGGACGAAAGCUAGGGGAGCG